CCUACGGGAGGCAGCAGUGGGGAAUAUUGGACAAUGGGCGCAAGCCUGAUCCAGCAAUGCCGCGUGAGUGAUGAAGGCCUUAGGGUCGUAAAGCUCUUUUACCAGGGAUGAUAAUGACAGUACCUGGAGAAUAAGCUCCGGCUAACUCCGUGCCAGCAGCCGCGGUAAUACGGAGGGAGCUAGCGUUGUUCGGAAUUACUGGGCGUAAAGCGUACGUAGGCGGUUAUUCAAGUCAGAGGUGAAAGCCCGGGGCUCAACCCCGGAACGGCCUUUGAAACUAGGUAGCUAGAAUCUUGGAGAGGUCAGUGGAAUUCCGAGUGUAGAGGUGAAAUUCGUAGAUAUUCGGAAGAACACCAGUGGCGAAGGCGACUGACUGGACAAGUAUUGACGCUGAGGUACGAAAGCGUGGGGAGCAAACAGGAUUAGAUACCCUGGUAGUCCACGCCGUAAACGAUGAUAACUAGCUGUCCGGGCACUUGGUGCCUGGGUGGCGCAGCUAACGCAUUAAGUUAUCCGCCUGGGGAGUACGGUCGCAAGAUUAAAACUCAAAGAGUAGUGGCGUGUGAGAGUCGACGAGACGACGAGGAGGAGG
rnacentral:rRNA from 1 species